UUAUUUUUCUGAUGGAAGUAGUAAUAAACUCGAUAGUAUUCAUCACCAUGCAAUUUUGACAGGUUUCCACACCCCUUUUAGGGCUUAUGUCCCACCUUCCCACCUCCCAUUUCCGUUGGCACCAAAGUAUAGCGCCGUUGGCCAUUUUGAAAAAAUGUGUGUGUGUAUGUGUUUGACUAGGGGAAGUGUUGUGUAUGUUGGUGGUUGGGUAAAUGGAGAGAAAAAGGUUGAAAGAAGAGUAUGAGAGAGUGUAAAGAGGAAAAAAGAGAGUCUGAGUAAGGUUUAGAGGAAAAAAAGUAAAUUUGAAAGAAGAGAGGUAAGUUAUUGAAGAAAAG